rnacentral:rRNA from 1 species
UUCCGGUUGAUCCUGCCGGACCCCACUGCUAUCGGGAUGGGACUAAGACAUGCUAGUCGUGCGUCUCCAAGCCAUGGCGGAGACGCGGCGCACAGCUCAGUAACACGUGGCUAACCUGCCCUUAGGACAGGGACAACCCCGGGAAACUGGGGCUAAUCCCUGAUAGGUGAGGGUUCCUGGAAUGGGCCCUCGCCGAAAGGGCGCCUAGACCAUGCGUCUAGGCGCUGCCCAAGGAUGGAGCCGCGGCCGAUCAGGUUGUUGGUGAGGCAACGGCUCACCAAGCCUUUAACCGGUACGGGCCGUGAGAGCGGGAGCCCGGAGAUGGGUACUGAGACAAGGACCCAGGCCCUACGGGGCGCAGCAGUCGCGAAAACUCCGCAAUACGCGAAAGCGUGACGGGGCUAUCCCGAGUGCCGUCCGCUGAGGAUGGCUUUUCCCUAGUGUAUAAAGCUGGGGGAAUAAGGAGAGGGCAAGCCUGGUGUCAGCCGCCGCGGUAAUACCAGCUCUCCGAGUGGUGGGGAUGCUUAUUGGGCCUAAAGCAUUCGUAGCCGGUUGGGCAAGUCCUCCGUUAAAUCCAGCGAUUCAAUCGUUGGACUGCGGGGGAUACUGUCCGGCUUGGGGGCGGAAGAGGCCGACGGUAUUCUCGGGGUAGGGGUGAAAUCCUAUAAUCCCGGGAGGACCACCAGUGGCGAAGGCUGUCGGCUAGAACGCGCCCGACGGUGAGGGAUGAAAGCUGGGGGAGCGAACCGGAUUAGAUACCCGGGUAGUCCCAGCUGUAAACGAUGCAGGCUAGGUGUUGGCGCGGCUACGUGCCGCUCCAGUGCCGCAAGGAAGCCGUUAAGCCUGCCGCCUGGGAAGUACGGCCGCAAGGCUGAAACUUAAAGGAAUUGGCGGGGG